AUGCACGCUGGCGGCGUGCCUAAUACAUGCAAGUCGAGCGAACAGAUGAGGAGCUUGCUCCUCUGACGUUAGCGGCGGACGGGUGAGUAACACGUGGAUAACCUACCUAUAAGACUGGGAUAACUUCGGGAAACCGGAGCUAAUACCGGAUAUAUAUUGAACCGCAUGGUUCAAUAGUGAAAGACGGUUUUGCUGUCACUUAUAGAUGGAUCCGCGCCGCAUUAGCUAGUUGGUAAGGUAACGGCUUACCAAGGCAACGAUGCGUAGCCGACCUGAGAGGGUGAUCGGCCACACUGGAACUGAGACACGGUCCAGACUCCUACGGGAGGCAGCAGUAGGGAAUCUUCCGCAAUGGGCGAAAGCCUGACGGAGCAACGCCGCGUGAGUGAUGAAGGUCUUCGGAUCGUAAAACUCUGUUAUUAGGGAAGAACAAAUGUGUAAGUAACUAUGCACGUCUUGACGGUACCUAAUCAGAAAGCCACGGCUAACUACGUG
rnacentral:rRNA from 1 species